rnacentral:tRNA from 1 species
GAGGGUGUAGCUCAGUGGUAGAGUGCGUGAUUAGCAUGCACGAGGUCCAGGGUUCAACCCCCAGUGUCUCCA